rnacentral:rRNA from 1 species
UACGGGGGGGGCAAGCGUUGUUCGGAAUUACUGGGCGUAAAGGGCGCGUAGGCGGCCUGCUAAGUCGAACGUGAAAUCCCCGGGCUCAACCCGGGAACUGCGUCCGAUACUGGUUGGCUUGAAUCCGGGAGAGGGAUGCGGAAUUCCAGGUGUAGCGGUGAAAUGCGUAGAUAUCUGGAGGAACACCGGUGGCGAAGGCGGCAUCCUGGACCGGCAUUGACGCUGAGGCGCCAAAGCGUGGGGAGCAAACAGG